GAUGAACGCUGGCGGCGUGCCUAAUACAUGCAAGUCGAGCGAACAGACGAGAGUGCUUGCACUCCCUGACGUUAGCGGCGGACGGGUGAGUAACACGUGGGUAACCUACCUAUAAGACUGGGAUAACUUCGGGAAACCGGAGCUAAUACCGGAUAAUAUCUAGCUUCGCAUGAAGCAAUAGUGAAAGACGGUUCUGCUGUCACUUAUCGAUGGACCCGCGGUGUAUUAGCUAGUUGGUGAGGUAACGGCUCACCAAGGCAACGAUACAUAGCCGACCUGAGAGGGUGAUCGGCCACCCUGGGACUGAGACACGGCCCAGACUCCUACGGGAGGCAGCAGUAGGGAAUCUUCCGCAAUGGACGGAAGUCUGACGGAGCAAUGCCGCGUGAGUGAAGAAGGUUUUCGGAUCGUAAAACUCUGUUGUAAGGGAAGAACAAGUACGUUAGUAACUGAACGUACCUUGACGGUACCUUACCAGAAAGCCACGGCUAACUACGUG
rnacentral:rRNA from 1 species